AUUGAACGCUGGCGGAAUGCUUUACACAUGCAAGUCGAACGGCAGCACGGACUUCGGUCUGGUGGCGAGUGGCGAACGGGUGAGUAAUACAUCGGAACGUGCCCAGUCGUGGGGGAUAACGUAGCGAAAGCUACGCUAAUACCGCAUACGAUCUACGGAUGAAAGCGGGGGAUCGCAAGACCUCGCGCGAUUGGAGCGGCCGAUGGCAGAUUAGGUAGUUGGUAGGGUAAAGGCCUACCAAGCCGACGAUCUGUAGCUGGUCUGAGAGGAUGAUCAGCCACACAGGGACUGAGACACGGCGCAGACUCCUACGGGAGGCAGCAGUGGGGAAUUUUGGACAAUGGACGCAAGUCUGAGCCAGCCAUUCCGCGUGCAGGAUGAAGGCCCUCGGGUUGUAAACUGCUUUUGUACAGAACGAAAAGGCUCUGGUUAAUACCUGGGGCUCAUGACGGUACUGUAAGAAUAAGCACCGGCUAACUACGUGCCAGCCGCCGCAGUAA
rnacentral:rRNA from 1 species